CUCCGAAAGCGGGCCCCGUGUACUUACUCGCCCAUUUACGGACCCUCCACGUGCUCCCUCUAAGUCUCUUUACUCUCCUGGUAUACGGGGACAUACUGGGUGACGUGACUUACUAAUGAACUCGGUUUUCGUCAUGAUAAGUCUCCGUAGAACCCCCGGUUUUCACAUAGAGAACUGAACGACAACGACCAGAAGGAGACAUAGAGUCAGGAGUAGAGGUGGUGGCUGUCUCACGAGGGAAGGAGAGUAGAGUCAGGAGGAGAAGAGGUAACGCGACGGACCCUAUUCUAGCUAGGCGGAACAACAAACCACUCGAGUAGGUUAGAGGCGGGGACUGUGGACACCUCGUCUCACCUUGUCGAUCGUUCUUGGUGACUCAAAGGCCAGUAAUAAGUCUCGUGGUGUGUAGCUUAGGUGACUGGACUAACUCACUUCGCUGGAGGUGCUUCGCGGCAGUGCCUAGACCGGAGACCACGGGUCGGCGGCGAAAGCGAAGGUCAUUCUAAGGUCCCACCCCAGCACCCCGAGACAUAGAUAGAUCAUGCCUCAUGGUUACAUAAGUUCGUCAAAUGAGAGAACUGGCGACAACCUGAAGGAGACAGGGCCGAAGGUAACACGACGGAACUUGUCUAGGUAGGCGGAACAACGACUAGAGUAGGUUGGAGGCCCCACGAUCAAAGGUCACUAAUAAGUCUCGUGGUACGAUAAGGAGACGAGGAGCAGAGGCGAAGUAGAGCCAGAGGAGGUAACGCGACGGAGUAGGUUGGAGGCACCUGUAAAGCCCCACGAUCAAAGGUCACUAAUAAGUCUCGUGGUACGAUCGCCGGACUAGCUCACUUCGCCGGAGAUACGUCGGCGACACAAAACGAGACAAGACAAGACAAGACGAGACGGUAGGCUGCGACUGCGGCGCUGACAAAAGACGAGACGGCACUUCGUAGUUUCCAAAGGCCAGUAAUUAGUCUCGUGGUACGUAUCUUAGGUGACUGGGCCGAUAUUCAAGAAUAUUCUAUAAACCACGGGUGUCGCGCUGGCAGCCGGCAAACACAAGACGAGAGGACACUUCGUAGUUUCCAAAGGUCGACUAACCAGGUCUCUCGAGAGUACCUAUAACAGUGCUCACGGUAACGGUUCGACUAGGGGUUCGACCGGCUGGAUGAACACCCCCUCAUGUUCGACGUGUUCUUGCAGUUCUUUUUAUAGCUCCUGGAGGACUUCCUCGAACUCUCGUACUUGCAACGGGAGUAGUUCUAACCACUCCACGGCGCCCUGGUCGAGCUGUUUGUUCUGUUCGAGACCCGGCUACUACAGUCUCUCGAGAGGAUACAGUAGCUCCUACAGCAACUGUUCAAGGAGCAUGCUCAGCUGGUGUAAGUCGGACUGCUGCGGUGUUUGUUUAAGUUCCCCGAGUACUUCUCCUGCUGGUUCAACGACUUCUUUCAGUUCCUAUUCAUACCCUAUCGAGUGCGUUAGUUCCUGUAGGUCCUCGUUGAGGUCUUCCACCGGCGAUCCGCACUGUCCUUGUUCCAUCAACAAGGAUUAGGAUGCCUUGGUUAAUGAUAACUAGGAACAGAAGCUCGAAACAUGCGUCUUCGCUGUCUCGAUCAACCGUAUAUACCCUUCUCCCUGCUCCUCGAGUACUCCAACGAGAGGUACCUCCCACUACUACGGAGAUUCUUGUCUGAUUUCUUCCAGAGGUAACAACCUAAACCUCCUAACCCGUUUUGGUGAGAACGAUCUCGUCAUAUGCUCUUCUAAUUUCCACUAAAGCUAACAGCCCGUAAACAAGGGCAGCCAGUCUUGGGACUGUACUUCUUCCAAAAUUCCCUAUAGGAGUAACUAGAGUCGCUGCCGUUGGGAGUCAGUCUAGAAAGUUAUGACCUACAAUUAGUAGAAUAAUUUUUCGAAGUAGUUAAGGACCUCUUGUUCUCCAUAGAACAGUAUUAACUACUAUAUACCCUACUUUUUAACACCCUUGUGUAGUUGAAACGAAAGAGGUUGUCCUUAUUAGAUCCGUCAGCUGAUUAAUGCUGUUGGGCGUAACAGUCACAGAGGUUAAGUACAACGAGCAACCUGGUACUAAGCCAAAUAGUUUACCUUGGUGAAAGACAACUACUGAGGUCUUCUGAGAAGAUGUUUUCUUAUAAAGGUAAGCUCUCACCUACAGGUUUACUUAAACUUGUUCACAGAUGUCUAUAAGACUUCUUUACACCACCCCAUGGUGAUCGGUAGUAAUGAUAACGAUCACGAAACCGACCACCGGUCUUCCACUUUGGUUUCACACUCACCCUACAAGACGAGGUUAGGGAACCGAGACCUGAUUGUCUUCUAUUAUCAAAUCUCCUCUACGCCUCUUAUGAGAGAAAGUCGAUAAUAUUAGAUGGCAGGGUAGACUUUUGAACAGAUGAUAUGGAUACAUAUAUAGGUCUUCUAUCGUGCUAACUAUCUCUACCUGACUAUACCUUCACCCACCGGCUUCCUAAACAGGUGGUACCUCUAGUUCCCUGGUCGGACAAAAACCAGCCUAACUUGAUGAAGUUGGUCGAGUAAUUAUCUUCAUACUAGGUCGGUUAUAUACUAGGAGAGCCGGUCCAUAUACGAACGGCACAUGUACUAUACCAAGACCUGGAAUAGACGUUGAACAGUGUACUUCGUUUCAAACAAUUAGAUAACCUACCGUGACCCUUAGUGUAGUACAGAAGUGUUUCAUUAUAAGCAGCAAACAGAGAAGUCUUAUUUUUACUUCUGGUAGUUCGGUUCGGAGAGUGUUUAUAGUACUCGUACAGUGUUCACUCCAGUUAAUGGUAGAAAGGUGGACGACAAUCAUAGUACGGUUCAGACAGUUACAAACUUCAAGACGCACAUGAACUAGACAGCGUAACAUUAGACCCUCUUUCAUCGUCGGACGUCGAAUUGGAGUUCCCACAACCUGUGAAUUAAGUGGAUUCCAUGGAACCAGAUAGUCCAUGGUUUUAGUCAUUCGAAGGCCGACUCUAUCCUUUGGACGUCAAAAACCUCCACAACCUAGAACCUUUGUUACUAUUCGAUCUACUUAACGGCAGGUGACAAACAUUAAACUCUUCUAAUUAGAUGGAUUUACAAAAAAGGUCAUUCCACCAAGGUUGAGGACCACACAACGUCUUAGACUGUAGGUAACUUCACAACUCCCCUCAGAACCAGAGAGACUUGUAAUAACGUGUUCUCGAACCGUUUGACCGUUCCGACUCCCUCGAAGUCUAAACGUAGUUCCUACCAUCAAACCUAAACAUACUUACAAAACACUUCAGAGACACGUUGGAUCUAGUGUAGCUUUCGGAUAUAUAAGCAACGUUAAGGCUUCUUUGUAGAAAACUUGACUACCUAGAGAACCCUCUUACGACCCACGGAGGACAUGUAGAGGCGUUUAAACACAGAAGCUGCGGAUGGGUUGAGAUACGUGACGUUCCCACCUAUUUCUCUCUGGGGAGCGUAGAGAGCUUGGAGAGACUCAAUUAGAAGAUAAGUCACUUCCUUCACGUCGUCCUCCUGCACCUUUAGUAACCCCCCAACAACAGGGAAGCGGCAGAGACGUAUUCCUCGUGGGUGGUUUGUGUUGCCGACGAUCAGUAGGCACGGCUACCCAAGGCGACAUACCAUCUGAAAAUGAACUUAACACCCAGUCGUCGCGUCUAGUUCAAACUUGGUCCUCGGAACGGUUCCCGCCUUCUUCAAUGCAAGUCGGACCCGCACGCCCACCGCUUUCUCCUACCUUUGACACCAAAGCUGAACCCGGACGUCCCCUUGGACGAGAGGGAAGCCGCCGGCCAGUACCAAACCUACAUAACACCACCUCGCUCCCAACCCCUCCGUUUCCUUCGCCUCCGACGCCACUCCGCGCGGGAGCUUCGGGUAGGGUUGGUAGGGUCCUAAAUAUAACUGUACACCGGCGCAUAUCGUCUUCUACGAGUACUACUGCUAAACACACUCCUGCUCCUCUUGACUAAAGACUAGGUCUCGCAGAGUGUAACGUAGUCUACACGAGAGUCCAUCGUCCCCGCGCCCCAAUGACGACCACCCGUGGCCGGCACGCUUCUUAACUUCUACCCUUUCAAAGCUCGAAGCGACCUUCAACACACUACACCAAGAAAAUUUACCGUCGACGAACGUCUUUCUCUAUAACGAACCAAAACAUUACUUAUUCAUUUCUCACAACAUCACUUAACUAGGAAUGUUCCUAUCGAACGAAACGAAGUCAACUCCCGGUAGCAACGACGAGACAAAACGAGACAAAAAACAAAAAUUCGACUUGGUCUCUUGGAAUUCCAUAUAAAAGUCAAAGCACUAUUUACUUUACCCCCCGAGGAAAAAGCCAUUUUUUUUCGAAAAACCAUUUACCCCCCGAGUGGACUCGAGGAAUUAAACUUAUUUUUGACGCCGAAUGCCAACCCUAAAA
rnacentral:rRNA from 1 species